rnacentral:rRNA from 1 species
UUAUCGGUACGAGGAAUGGAUGUUCGAUUUCGUAGAAUACGCCUGAGAGACGGCGAAUACUCUCACGAGAGGCAGCAGGCUCGUAAGUUACCCAAUUACAACAAGUAGAGGUAGCGAAGGAAAAUAUGAGGGGUGGUAGGUAUUGCCUAUUACAUUCUCAAAUGGAAGCAAAUUAAAUAUUUCAUAGAAAGCAAGAAGAGGAAAAGUAUCGGUGCCAGCACCCGCGGUAAUUCCAGCUCUUCUAGCGUAUAUCGAAGUUGAUGCAGUUAAAAAGCUCGUAGUCGGAGUUGUUUGGGUUUUAGGGGAAAAACUCUGGGUAGUUCGAAAGGAUUACUCGGGACCCUCCCAAUUCAUUGGAUUAUGAAAGUGCUGAGGUUCGCCUUGGAUUACUUCUCUUCCACAUUUACUUUGAGGAAAUUAGAGUGUUUAUAGCAGUCGUCUUGACUGAAUAGUUUAGCAUGGGAUAAUAGAAUAUGGCAAUACGUCUUUUCUAUGGUUCUUAAAGGCAAUUUUUUGCAAUGAUCAAUGGGAGUGGAUGGGGCUGCCAGUAUUGCUGAGCUAGAGGUGAAAUUCUAUGAUUCCAGCAGGACUAACUAAUGCGAAAGCAUCCAGCCAGUACAUGUCCGUCGAUCAAGAACGAAGGGAGUGGUAUCGAAGAUGAUCAGAUACCGUCGUAGUCACUCCAGUAAACGAUGAUAACUCGGGGUUAGAGGGAUGUAACUUCAAACUUGCACCUUUUAGAACCGUAUGAGAAAUCAAAGUAUCUAUAUUUCCGGGGGGAGUAUGGCCGCAAGACUGAAACUUAAAGGAAUUGACGGAAGGGCACCACAAGGCGUGGAACCUGCGGCUUAAUUUGACUCAACACGGGAAAACUUACCAGGUCAGACAUAGUAAGGAUUGACAGGUGGAAAGAUCUUUCUUGAUUCUGUGGGUGGUGGUGCAUGGCCGUUCUUAGUUGGUGGAAUGAUUUGUCUGUUUAAUUACGAUAACGAACGAGAUGAUCAUGGAAAACUAGAGAGAUUGAUUGAAAGAUCAAUGCUUAUUCUUCUCUUCCAGAUUAAUGGAUUAAAGCCAUUUGAAAUGAUCGCAAUAACAGGUCUGUGAUGCCCUUAGAUGUUCUGGGCUGCACGCGCGUUACAAUGGUGACGUCAAUGAGUUUUGGAGGGAUUUACUUCUUCCUUGUGCUUUCUUGAAAAGGAUGGCUAAUCUUAUAUAAACGUCACCGUGCUGGGGAUAGAUGGUUGUAAUUUUCCGUCUUGAACCAGGAAUGCCUAGUAAUCGCAUGUCAUCAGCAUGCGAUGAUUACGUCCCUGCCCUUUGUACACACCGCCCGUCGCUCCUACCGAUUGGAUUGUCCGGUGAGAAUGGAGGAUUUUGGUAUUUUAUGAGCAAUCAUGGAGUAUUGGGAGAAUCCAUUCAAAUCUUAUAAUCUAGAGGAAGGAGAAGUCGUAACAAGGUC